CCGAGGCAGGCGGGGGCGGGCAGACGCGGGGGCUCCUGACAGGAUCCUGCGGGCGGGCUCCCAGGGCUGUGAGGUGCGGGGUCACCGCCUAAGGGGUCCCCCCCCCCGUCACACCCUACAAGUUACGUGAGGGAGGCAGCUCACGUCCUGCUGCCGAUAAAUAUAUUUCGUUUGUGAAAGGAAUUCUGGCUUGCGUUAUGUAUACGUCGCUUUUCGUGUGUGAAAGGCGUUCUGGCUGGCGUUGUACUCCGCUGCCGGAACGCUAUUUUCACAGCUCCCAGGUCGAGAAAUAUCAGCGAUGAGCAGGGGUUUGUCUGUACUGCAUCAUCUGUGAGUCACAAGCCUCGAGAGAACGCCUAUCACUGCAAAAGAGCAUGUAUUUUCAAGCCUUUGGCUGUUCUCAUUUUGAAGGCAAUUUUACAGCAGAAUUUCAUGCAGUGUUGUAUAUGGGGUAAUAUAUUAAAUGAUACUUGCACUGUUGAAAGAGAUUAAAAUUCUAUGUAUUCGUAUAAUCAAUAUUGGUCACCUUGUGAAUGUGAGUAUGUGUCUGUGUUCAUAAAACUCAAUGAUAUAAUUAUUGUUCAACUUCACUAAAAUAAUUUCAGUUAGUUAAGGGUAAGGACAGUGAGAAUUUUAAAGGAAUAAAGUGUGAAGGCUCUUGUUUACAAGCUGCAUCAAGUUCCAGUUAAUUUUCUUAAGGUUCAGACUUUGUUCAACUGCAGUUUUAAAAAGCAAAGUAACUUCUGUCACUGCAGUUGCACAGGCUUCUUUGCCACAAUAAUUACUCUGUUAAGAUGUUCCUAAGAAUCAUGGUCUCUUUCCCUCCUCCCUCUCUCUCAUGUUUUUUGAGGCCAAGUCAGCUUUUUAAAUUUAGUAUUUAUAGAUUAUUCUGAAAUAUCCACACUCAUUGCAAAACACAGGAUUUCAGCCCUGAAUCCCACUUCCCAGCUGUCAUGGAAAUUUCCAGUCUCAUUCCAAAGGAAAAUUCCAUUUUCAGUCUUCCAUUCAGACCCCUGUUUAGGAAAGGGAUUUCUCUGAAUAGCAAUUGUGAGAAACAGGAUAUUAGUCCAUGCCCAUUUAGUUGGAUUUGGAAAUCUGUUGGAGAAAAGUAUGUGGAAAAAAAAGAGCAAACAAGAAGCUGAGCCCUUCAAAAUGAUUUAACAGGUCUGGAACACUCUCAGAGCAGAUCUAGCGCAACAUGCCUUGUUCUGCAUUAACAAAGGCGAAGUUUGUUACGUCAAAAUCUUUGACUGACUGAUUGAAGUGUUCCUGUAUAUUAGUGCCUGUGGGAUUCCCUCAGCAAAACACAGCGGACCACAUAACACUUAGUAACGUGGUCUGGAAGUUCUCAAAUUGUGAGAUCAUCCUGCAGGCAGGAGCACACCAGAGUCCAAUAACUCGUUAAGGUUGAUCCACUUCAGCUAUCAGUCACUCUUCAUUAUCAUUUUCCUUUUACUGCUAAACAGAGCUGAGGGGCACGGACCUGGUAUCAGUAAGCAACAGAGUUUGCUGGAAGUGUUGCUGUGCCAGGCCGUUGCUCUGUUCUUUCCAUUUCUGUAACACAUUUCAUCCGAGGCUGAAGUCCAACAGCACCGUACUGUGUGAAUCUAGCACUACUGGAAUUCCUAAGCCUGAAGCUCACUUUUGUUCAGCAGAGGCAAUAAAAUGAUUGUACACCACUUAAAUCACAUUUAUACUAUUUUCUAGGGAUUUCACGUUGUGUGUGUAUUUUGCCCUUUCAGGAUGGGGGUGAAGUUCCUCCUAAAGUGAAAAAGUUUAAGCCAGACUUGUUAAGGCAGGUGCCUAGUGGGAUAUAAAAAAAAUAUAUAUAUAUCGGUUCUUCCACAGACUUAGUUUAAAUGACUUGUUUGACAUCUUACCGUAGAUUAGAUUCCUGAUUCUGUGAUAUCCUGCUCCAGUCACAAGACCUUGAAUUUUAGUCACCUACUUAAAAAUGUCUAUUAAAAAAAGAAGGGGGAAAUCAAUCACUCGUGUGAGAACCAGCAACCAAUUGCUGUUGUGUCCAGACUCUGGGCAUUAUAUUUAUAAUAGAUAAAAUAGAACGGUAGGAUUCACAGACUCUAAAAUGGGUGUGCAGCUAAUGCUGACUUCCUUUGAACAGUCUCAAAUUCUGUGCUUUAGCCACAGAAAUUUGCAUUAAUUAUACAAAAUUAAUGAAUGAAUUACUUUAAAGAGAAACAUUUAUGUAAUGUCUUCCAUAACACUUGUAGUCAAAUGUGUAGUAAGCCUCAGUAGUGAAAAAAGAUGACAUUAUGUUAAAAUCUCAUGUUGACAAUCUCUUACUUUGUAAGUGCAA